GGGAAUCAGGGAGUCUCGGUUGGCCGUGGUUGCACUGCUUUGGUCGCAAUUGGCACAUGCUGUUCUUCAACCUUCAGCAACCCCACAACAGAAGGAUCCUCUGAGAGACUGGGCAAGGUGGACAGCUGCUUAA